AGACCUCCGGGUCUAGUGGCGCACGGGUGCGUAACGCGUGGGAAUCUGCCCUUGGGUUCGGAAUAACUUCGGGAAACUGAAGCUAAUACCGGAUGAUGACGAAAGUCCAAAGAUUUAUCGCCCAGGGAUGAGCCCGCGUAGGAUUAGCUAGUUGGUGGGGUAAAGGCUCACCAAGGCAACGAUCCUUAGCUGGUCUGAGAGGAUGAUCAGCCACACUGGGACUGAGACACGGCCCAGACUCCUACGGGAGGCAGCAGUAGGGAAUAUUGGACAAUGGGCGAAAGCCUGAUCCAGCAAUGCCGCGUGAGUGAUGAAGGCCUUAGGGUUGUAAAGCUCUUUUACCCGAGAUGAUAAUGACAGUAUCGGGAGAAUAAGCUCCGGCUAACUCCGUGCCAGCAGCCGCGGUAAUACGGAGGGAGCUAGCGUUGUUCGGAAUUACUGGGCGUAAAGCGCACGUAGGCGGCGAUUUAAGUCAGAGGUGAAAGCCCGGGGCUCAACCCCGGAACUGCCUUUGAGACUGGAUUGCUAGAAUCUGGGAGAGGCGAGUGGAAUCGAGUGUAGAGGUGAAAUUCGUAGAUAUCGGAAGAACACCAGUGGCGAGCGGCUCGCUGACAGUAUUGACGCUGAGGUGCGAAAGCGUGGAGCAAACAGGAUUAGAUACCUGGUAGUCACGGUAAACGAUGAUAACUAGCUGC
rnacentral:rRNA from 1 species